AUACGGAGGAUCCGAGCGUUAUCCGGAUUUAUUGGGUUUAGAGGGUGCGCAGGCGGGAGAUUAAGUCGGCGGUGAAAUUUUGCAGCUCAACUGUAAAAGGGGCUUCGCAACUGGUUUCCUUGAGUGUAGAAGAAGGAGGCGGAAUUUGUGGUGUAGCGGUGAAAUGCAUAGAUAUCACGAGGAACUCCGAUUGCGCAGGCAGCUUACUAAACUACUACUGACGCUCAGGCACGAAGGCGUGGGGAUCAAACAGGAUUAGAUACCCUGGUAGUCCACGCAGUAAACGAUGAUUACUAGCUGUUUGCGAUACAAUGUAAGCGGCUGAGCGAAAGCGUUAAGUAAUCCACCUGGGGAGUACGUUCGCAAGAAUGAAACUCAAAUGAAUUGACGGGG
rnacentral:rRNA from 1 species